rnacentral:rRNA from 1 species
CGGGACGGGUGAGUAACGACGUGGAAAACCUAGCCGUAUACUGGGGAGUAACACUUAGAAAUAGGUGCUAAUACCGCAUAAGCGCACAGCUUCGCAUGAAGCGGUGUGAAAAACUCUGGUGGUAUACGAUGGUUCCGCGUCUGAUUAGCUAGUUGGUGGGGUAAUGGCCUACCAAGGCAACGAUCAGUAGCCAGCCUGAGAGGGUGAACGGCCACAUUGGGACUGAGACACGGCCCAAACUCCUACGGGAGGCAGCAG